rnacentral:rRNA from 1 species
CACAUGCAAGUCGAGGGGAAACGACAUUGGAAGCUUUGCUUCCGAUGGGCGUCGACCGGCGCACGGGUGAGUAAACGCGUAUCCAACCUGCCCACCACUUGGGAAUAACCUUGCGAAAGUAAGACUAAUGCCCAAUGACAUUGAGUGCAGACAUCUAAUCUCAAUUAAAGAUUCAUCGAUGAUGGAUGGGGAUGCGUCCGAUUAGCUUGUUGGCGGGGUAACGGCCCACCAAGGCGACGAUCGGUAGGGGUUCUGAGAGGAAGGUCCCCCACAUUGGAACUGAGACACGGUCCAAACUCCUACGGGAGGCAGCAGUGAGGAAUAUUGGUCAAUGGGCGAGAGCCUGAACCAGCCAAGUAGCGUGCAGGAUGACGGCCCUAUGGGUUGUAAACUGCUUUUAUAAGGGAAUAAAGAGGGAGUCGUGACUCUUUUUGCAUGUACCUUAUGAAUAAGGACCGGCUAAUUCCGUGCCAGCAGCCGCGGUAAUACGGAAGGUCCGGGCGUUAUCCGGAUUUAUUGGGUUUAAAGGGAGCGUAGGCCGCAGGUUAAGCGUGUUGUGAAAUGUAGGGGCUCAACCUCUGCACUGCAGCGCGAACUGGCUUGCUUGAGUACGCACAACGUGGGCGGAAUUCGUGGUGUAGCGGUGAAAUGCUUAGAUAUCACGGAGAACUCCGAUUGCGAAGGCAGCUCACGGGAGCGCAACUGACGCUGAAGCUCGAAAGUGCGGGUAUCGAACAGGAUUAGAUACCCUGGUAGUCCGCACGGUAAACGAUGGAUGCCCGCUGUUGUUUCUGAAUAGGUCAGCGACCAAAAGAAAGCAUUAUACUCACCGCCAGGGGAGUCGGCCGACAAAGGAAAAACUCAAAGUAAUUGACGAGGACCAACACAAGCGGAGGAUCAUGUGGUUUAAUUCGAUGAUACGCGAGGAACAUUACCCGGGCUGGAAUUGCAGAGGAAGGAUUUGGAGACAAUGACGCCCUUCGGGGUCUCUAUGAAGGUGGUGCAUGGUUGUGGUCAGCUUGUGCCGGGAGGUGUCGGCUUAAGUGCCAGAACGAGCGCAACCCCUCUCCUUAGUUGCCAUCAGGUGAAGCUGGGCACUCUGGGGACACGGCCACCGUAAGGAUGUGAGGUAGGUGGGGAUGAAGUCAAAUCAGCACGGCCCUUGUGUGCGGGGCAACACACGGGCACAAGUGGCA